rnacentral:rRNA from 1 species
UACGUAGGCAGCGAGCGUUGUCCGGAAUUAUUGGGCGUAAAGAGCUCGUAGGCGGUUUGUCGCGUCUGCUGUGAAAACUCGGGGCUUAACCCCGGGCCUGCAGUGGGUACGGGCAGACUAGAGUGCGGUAGGGGAGACUGGAAUUCCUGGUGUAGCGGUGAAAUGCGCAGAUAUCAGGAGGAACACCGGUGGCGAAGGCGGGUCUCUGGGCCGUAACUGACGCUGAGGAGCGAAAGCGUGGGGAGCGAACAGG